AAAUUGAAGAGUUUGAUCAUGGCUCAGAUUGAACGCUGGCGGCAGGCCUAACACAUGCAAGUCGAACGGUAACAGGAAGCAGCUUGCUGCUUCGCUGACGAGUGGCGGACGGGUGAGUAAUGUCUGGGAAACUGCCUGAUGGAGGGGGAUAACUACUGGAAACGGUGGCUAAUACCGCAUAACGUCGCAAGACCAAAGAGGGGGACCUUCGGGCCUCUUGCCAU
rnacentral:rRNA from 5 species